CACGUAGGGACCAAGCGUUGUCCGGAUUCAUUGGGCGUAAAGAGCUCGUAGGCGGUUCGAUAAGUCGGGUGUGAAACCUCCAGGCUCAACCUGGAGACGCCACCCGAUACUGUCGUGACUAGAGUCCAGUAGGGGAGCGUGGAAUUCCUGGUGUAGCGGUGAAAUGCGUAGAUAUCGAGAGGAACACCUGCGGCGAAGGCGGGUUGCUGGGCUGACACUGACGCUGAUGCGCGAAAGCUAGGGGAGCGAACGGG
rnacentral:rRNA from 1 species